rnacentral:lncRNA from 1 species
UCCAAUCCGCCCCAAAAUUUAAUCAUGUAAUCUCCAUCGCCUCCUUUUUCCAUAUCUCCAAACCAUAUCCUUCAAAAAACUCUCAAACUCCUUCAAUCUUAGAUCUAAGAAAUUUUUUCCUUACUUUUUCGCCCAAGUUAUUGAAGUUCCGGCAACUACCACCCCAUAAUACAUACAUCAACGGAUAGAGCUCCUCAAGACCUAGCUAUUGAUGUCAAUUCUACCUCAAAAAAUCGGCCAAAUUCCGGAGACCUCUCCGAACAUCCUUCUUGGCAUACCACUAUUUUUU